rnacentral:rRNA from 1 species
GAUGAACGCUGGCGGCGUGCCUAAUACAUGCAAGUAGAACGCUGAAGCUUGGUGCUUGCACCGAGCGGAUGAGUUGCGAACGGGUGAGUAACGCGUAGGUAACCUGCCUCUUAGCGGGGGAUAACUAUUGGAAACGAUAGCUAAUACCGCAUAAAAGUCAAUAUCGCAUGAUAUUGAUUUGAAAGGUGCAAAUGCAUCACUAAGAGAUGGACCUGCGUUGUAUUAGCUAGUUGGUGAGGUAACGGCUCACCAAGGCGACGAUACAUAGCCGACCUGAGAGGGUGAUCGGCCACACUGGGACUGAGACACGGCCCAGACUCCUACGGGAGGCAGCAGUAGGGAAUCUUCGGCAAUGGGGGCAACCCUGACCGAGCAACGCCGCGUGAGUGAAGAAGGUUUUCGGAUCGUAAAGCUCUGUUGUAAGAGAAGAACGAGUGUGAGAGUGGAAAGUUCACACUGUGACGGUAACUUACCAGAAAGGGACGGCUAACUACGUGCCAGCAGCCGCGGUAAUACGUAGGUCCCGAGCGUUAUCCGGAUUUAUUGGGCGUAAAGCGAGCGCAGGCGGUUAGAUAAGUCUGAAGUUAAAGGCUGUGGCUUAACCAUAGUACGCUUUGGAAACUGUUUAACUUGAGUGCAGAAGGGGAGAGUGGAAUUCCAUGUGUAGCGGUGAAAUGCGUAGAUAUAUGGAGGAACACCGGUGGCGAAAGCGGCUCUCUGGUCUGUAACUGACGCUGAGGCUCGAAAGCGUGGGGAGCGAACAGG